rnacentral:rRNA from 1 species
CUUUGAAUUGUAAUUUUGAAAUGUAUUGCCAAUGGAGGCGCAGGUGCAAGCCUAUUGAAAGAAAGCGUCAAUGAGGGUGAGAUUCCUUUUUGUCAUUUGCAGUCCUCCGUGCACGGUAUAUAUUUGACGAGUCACACUCCUCGGCAUUGGAAUGCAAAGUGGGUGGUAAAUUCCAUGUAAAGGUAAAUAUAUUAUUGAGACUGAUAGCAAACAAGUACCAUGAGGGAAAUAUGAAAAGGACUUUGAAAAGAGAAUUAAAAGAGUCUGCAUUUGCUGAACAGAAAGCAAACAGAAUUGAUUUUACUUGGUGAGAUUGUUGUGCUUACUCUAUCAUUUAUAUGGUUGAUGUGGGUGCGAUGGUUCUUACCUUGAAUGUCAGCUUCUAUUUCUGCAAAUCAUUACCCUUGCACAUGAAUGGUAAUUUGCCUGCGGGUAUUGGAAUGCAUGUGUUUGCAAUGAUUUGUGAUUUGACGCAUGUGUUUGGUGAAAUUUGUAUAUGCUCUUUUGUCGAAGGGGAAAGCUUACUUUUUUGAGCAUUGCAAGCCCUUACACAUCAGUGCUGGCAAAAUGUUUCUGCUUGACCCGUCUUGAAACACGGACCAAGGAGUCUAACAGAUGUGCAAGUUCGUGGGUGGCAAACCUUUUUGCGCAAUGAAAGUAUUGGCUGGGAUACUUGCACCAGCAGCCGACCAAUUAGCAGACAGAGGUUUGAGUUUGAGCAUAUCUAUUAGGACCCGAAAGAUGGUGAACUAUGCCUGAACAGAAUGAAUUCAGAGGAAACUCUGAUGGAGGUUCGUAUCGAUACUGACGUGCAAAUCGUUCGUCAUACUUGGGUAUAGGGGCGAAAGACUAAUCGAACCAUCUAGUAGCUGGUUCCCUCCGAAGUUUCCCUCAGGAUAGCUGGAGUUGCACAGUUUUAUCAGGUAAAGCGAAUGAUUAGAGGAAUUGGGGACACGCUGUCCUUGACCUAUUCUCAAACUUUAAAUGGGUAAGAUGCAAUGGUUGCUUUAUUGAACUUUUGGAAUAAAUGGCAAUAUCAGGUGGGCCAUUUUUGGUAAGCAGAACUGGCGAUGAGGGAUGAACCUAACGUUGGGUUAAGGUGCUUAAUUGCUUGCUCAUUAGAUACCAGAAAGGGUGUUGGUUCAUUUUAACAGCAGGACGGUGGUCAUGGAAGUCGAAAUCCGCUAAGGAGUGUGUAACAACUCACCUGCCGAAUGGACUAGCCCCGAAAAUGGAUGGCGCUCAAGCGGGUGACCGAUACCCAACCACUGUUGCAAAUAGUGUCAGUGUGUAGGAGGGCAUGGCGGUUUGUGAUGCAGCCUUUG